UGGAGAUUAUGUCCAACGUGGUGCUCUGUCUAUUUUGCUUGUCAUCCAAUGAAUAUAUGCAGGCUGAGAGAUAAUCAUUUGACCCCAGCACUUCGCUAGAAAUUCAUACUUAAGAAAGUACCUGCUGGACUCAAAAAUUCUCCACAGUAAUCAGACAUAUUGACUGGAAGCUGCUGCUGGUCUCUGCCUGGGUAAUUAAGGAGCUCGUUGCUCCUUAUUAAGGUGCCGCGGGGGCAGAUGGGCCUCGGCACGGGACGUUACUGCCCCGGAGCGCCGGCCGCGGGAGU